UACGGGGGGGGCAAGCGUUGUUCGGAAUUACUGGGCGUAAAGGGCUCGUAGGCGGCCAACUAAGUCAGACGUGAAAUCCCUCGGCUUAACCGAGGAACUGCCGUCCAAACUGCUUCGCUUGAGACCGGGAGAGGUGAGUGGAAUUCCCAGUGUAGCGGUGAAAUGCGUAGAUAUCGGGAAGAACACCCGUGGCGAAGGCGGUUCUCUGGGACGGUACUGACGCUGAGACGCGAAAGCGUGGGGAGCGAACAGG
rnacentral:rRNA from 1 species